UGGCUUCUGGGGUGCUCUGCAGUGGAGGCCUGUGCUGUCCACGUGUAAUGUCAGCCCGGUGAGGCGAGGACAGGUCACGGCAGCUCAGCCAGGGAUGCUGUGUCCGUACGCCGACCUGCGCUGGGGCUCCCUUGAGCUGGCUGUCCCACCGCCUCAUUCCCGGGGCACCCACGUGGGAAAGCUCUGAGACGUGUCCCAGGGUGGGCUUGGGGGACCCCUUUCUCCAUGCUGUGCAUCUGGGGGCCGCCAGACUCAGGAGCAGAGGCCGCCCCUCCUAUGCGAUCAUGGGACCCCUUCCCCCGGGGGCUGGAUGCAAGCAGGUGUGCCCGGGAGCUGUGUUCAGCUGCCGCCCCAUCCUCUCCUCUCCCUAGUACACGCUGUGGGCAGCCGUCUGGGUCACCUGGAACGUCUUCAUCAUCUGCUUCUACCUGGAAGUCGGUGGCCUCUUAAAGGACAGCGAGCUACUGACCUUCAGCCUCUCCCGGCAUCGCUCCUGGUGGCGUGAGCGCUGGCCAGGCUGUCUGCAUGAGGAGGUGCCAGCAGUGGGCCUCGGGGCCCCCCAUGGCCAGGCCCUGGUGUCAGGUGCUGGCUGUGCCCUGGAGCCCAGCUAUGUGGAGGCCCUACACAGUUGCCUGCAGAUCCUGAUCGCGCUUCUGGGCUUUG
rnacentral:lncRNA from 1 species